rnacentral:rRNA from 1 species
AUGCAGUGUGAAAACUCCGGUGGUAUAAGAUGGACCCGCGUUGGAUUAGCUAGUUGGUGAGGUAACGGCCCACCAAGGCGACGAUCCAUAGCCGACCUGAGAGGGUGACCGGCCACAUUGGGACUGAGACACGGCCCAAAACUCCUACGGGAGGCAGCAGUGGGGAAUAUUGCACAAUGGGCGAAAGCCUGAUGCAGCGACGCCGCGUGAGCGAAGAAGUAUUUCGGUAUGUAAAGCUCUAUCAGCAGGGAAGAUAAUGACGGUACCUGACUAAGAAGCACCGGCUAAAUACGUGCCAGCAGCCGCGGUAAUACGUAUGGUGCAAGCGUUAUCCGGAUUUACUGGGUGUAAAGGGAGCGCAGGCGGUGCGGCAAGUCUGAUGUGAAAGCCCGGGGCUCAACCCCGGUACUGCAUUGGAAACUGUCGUACUAGAGUGUCGGAGGGGUAAGCGGAAUUCCUAGUGUAGCGGUGAAAUGCGUAGAUAUUAGGAGGAACACCAGUGGC